rnacentral:rRNA from 1 species
GACGAACGCUGGCGGCGUGCUUAACACAUGCCAGUCGAACGGAAAGGCCCUGCUUUUGUGGGGUGCUCGAGUGGCGAACGGGUGAGUAACACGUGAGUAACCUGCCCUUGACUUUGGGAUAACUUCAGGAAACUGGGGCUAAUACCGGAUAGGAGCUCCUGCUGCAUGGUGGGGGUUGGAAAGUUUCGGCGGUUGGGGAUGGACUCGCGGCUUAUCAGCUUGUUGGUGGGGUAGUGGCUUACCAAGGCUUUGACGGGUAGCCGGCCUGAGAGGGUUACCGGCCACAUUGGGCCUGAGAUACGGACCAGAAGCCUACGGGAGGCAGCAGUGGGGAAUAUUGCACAAUGGGCGGAAGCCUGAUGCAGCAACGCCGCGUGCGGGAUGACGGCCUUCGGGUUGUAAACCGCUUUCGCCUGUGACGAAGCGUGAGUGACGGUAAUGGGUAAAGAAGCACCGGCUAACUACGUG